rnacentral:rRNA from 1 species
UACGUAGGGUGCAAGCGUUGUCCGGAAUUAUUGGGCGUAAAGAGCUCGUAGGCGGUCUGUUGCGUCGGCUGUGAAAACCCGGGGCUCAACCCCGGGCCUGCAGCCGAUACGGGCAGACUAGAGUUCGGCAGGGGGAGACUGGAAUUCCUGGUGUAGCGGUGAAAUGCGCAGAUAUCAGGAGGAACACCGGUGGCGAAGGCGGGUCUCUGGGCCGAUACUGACGCUGAGGAGCGAAAGCGUGGGGAGCAAACAGG